UACGUAGGGGGCAAGCGUUGCCCGGAUUUAUUGGGCGUAAAGAGCGUGUAGGCGGCCAGGGAGGUCCGUUGUGAAAACUCGAGGCUCAACCUCGAGACGCCGAUGGAAACCCCCUGGCUAGAGUCCGGAAGAGGAGAGUGGAAUUCCUGGUGUAGCGGUGAAAUGCGCAGAUAUCAGGAAGAACACCCGUGGCUAAGGCGGCUCUCUAGUACGGUACUGACGCUGAGACGCGAAAGCGUGGGGAGCGAACAGG
rnacentral:rRNA from 1 species